rnacentral:rRNA from 1 species
UGGGGAAUAUUGGACAAUGGGGGGAACCCUGAUCCAGCCAUGCCGCGUGUGUGAAGAAGGCCUUAUGGUUGUAAAGCACUUUAAGCGAGGAGGAGGGUACUGGUAUUAAUACUACCAGCUACUGGACGUUACUCGCAGAAUAAGCACCGGCUAACUCAGUGCCAGCAGCCGCGGUAAUACAGAGGGUGCAAGCGUUAAUCGGAAUUACUGGGCGUAAAGCGCGCGUAGGUGGUUCGUUAAGUUGAAUGUGAAAGCCCCGGGCUCAACCUGGGAACUGCAUCCAAAACUGGCGAGCUAGAGUAGGGCAGAGGGUGGUGGAAUUUCCUGUGUAGCGGUGAAAUGCGUAGAUAUAGGAAGGAACACCAGUGGCGAAGGCGACCACCUGGGCUCAUACUGACACUGAGGUGCGAAAGCGUGGGGAGCAAACAGG